rnacentral:RNase_P_RNA from 1 species
GAGGAAAGUCCGGGCUCUAUUUAAAAAAAAAUAUAGCUAUAUAACAUAUAGUGUAGGAAACUAUGAGGAGAGUGCCACAGAAAUAAACCAACUAUUUUUAUAAAUUAGUAAGGGUGCAAUGGUACGAUAAAAGCGUACCAGAAAUAUUUUCAAGAUAUUUGCUAGGUAAACCCCAUAUUUAGAGUAAAGUAAUUGGUAAAAAAAUUUUUUUAUCUUUUUUAUUUAUGAAAAUAAAUAAAUAAACUAAUUUGUAAAGAUACUGCUUUAAAAUUAUUUAUGCUAUAAUUCAAGAUUAAUGAUUACCCUUUUUGUAUUAAUUGUACAAUUAAGAACAAAACCCGGCUUAU